rnacentral:rRNA from 1 species
GUGGGGAAUUUUGGACAAUGGGGGCAACCCUGAUCCAGCCAUGCCGCGUGAGUGAAGAAGGCCUUCGGGUUGUAAAGCUCUUUCGGCCGGGACGAAAUCGCAUGGGCUAAUACCCUGUGUGGAUGACGGUACCGGAAUAAGAAGCACCGGCUAACUACGUGCCAGCAGCCGCGGUAAUACGUAGGGUGCGAGCGUUAAUCGGAAUUACUGGGCGUAAAGCGUGCGCAGGCGGUUUUUUAAGACAGGCGUGAAAUCCCCGGGCUUAACCUGGGAACUGCGCUUGUGACUGGAAGGCUAGAGUACGGCAGAGGGGGGUGGAAUUCCACGUGUAGCAGUGAAAUGCGUAGAGAUGUGGAGGAACACCGAUGGCGAAGGCAGCCCCCUGGGCCGAUACUGACGCUCAUGCACGAAAGCGUGGGGAGCAAACAGGAUUAGAAACCCCAGUAGUCC